GCUGCAUGCCUAAUACAUGCAAGUCGAGCGGAUUGAUGGGAGCUUGCUCCCAUCAGUCAGCGGCGGACGGGUGAGUAACACGUGGGUAACCUGCCUGUAAGACUGGGAUAACUCCGGGAAACCGGGGCUAAUACCGGAUAACUCAUUUCCUCGCAUGAGGAAAUGUUGAAAGGUGGCUUUUAGCUAUCACUUACAGAUGGACCCGCGGCGCAUUAGCUAGUUGGUGAGGUAACGGCUCACCAAGGCGACGAUGCGUAGCCGACCUGAGAGGGUGAUCGGCCACACUGGGACUGAGACACGGCCCAGACUCCUACGGGAGGCAGCAGUAGGGA
rnacentral:rRNA from 1 species